rnacentral:rRNA from 1 species
UGCGUAGGUGGUUUGAUAAGUCAUGUGUGAAAUACCUGGGCUUAACCUGGGUUGGUCAGAUGAGACUGUUAGACUAGAGUAUGGGAGAGGGUAGUGGAAUUUCCGGUGUAGCGGUGAAAUGCGUAGAGAUCGGGAGGAACACCGGUGGCGAAGGCGGCUACCUGGCCUAAUACUGACACUGAGGCACGAAAGCGUGGGGAGCAAACA